CUUUUCCAAGCAUAGUACGAUUUAUAGACCACAUACUCGCCAAUAGAAUUUCAACUUUGGCAUUCCGAUUUAAGAUUCAAAUUAAAAUUAUCCACUCACUUGCUUUUGGUAACUGUAGCUACCAGCUGUCACCCUUAUUUUAUUAUAAUAAUAGAGGUCACUGAAAAAUAUCAAGCAU